rnacentral:rRNA from 1 species
AGGGAAUAUUGGGCAAUGGGCGCAAGCCUGACCCAGCCAUGCCGCGUGCAGGAUGAAGGUCUUCGGAUUGUAAACUCCUGUUGCUCGGGACGAAAAGCUUCGACCUAACACGUCGAAGUCUGACGGUACCGAGUGAGGAAGCCCCGGCUAACUCUGUGCCAGCAGCCGCGGUAAUACAGAGGGGGCAAGCGUUGUGCGGAAUUACUGGGCGUAAAGGGCGCGUAGGCGGCCUGCUAAGUCGAACGUGAAAUCCCUGGGCUCAACCCAGGAACUGCGUCCGAUACUGGUUGGCUUGAAUCCGGGAGAGGGACGUGGAAUUCCAGGUGUAGCGGUGAAAUGCGUAGAUAUCUGGAGGAACACCGGUGGCGAAGGCGACGUCCUGGACCGGCAUUGACGCUGAGGCGCGAAAGCCAGGGGAGCAAAC